CAGCUCCACCAGCCUCGCCUCCCUCGCUAAUUACAGACCUUCCCUGGGGAGGAAGGCCUGGCCAGGAGGCCCUCAUUACGGGCUGCAAACCCCGAUGACCAAACCCGGGGACUGGAGUGUGGCGCUCUGGAAGCCACGCCCAGGGCUCCUGCUCAGCCCCGCUGUGCCCUCGGGAACAAGGUUGAGAAGCGGCCGGCUGGACGGAGGCCUGGGCCUACACAGGUCUUUCUAUGUAGUCCAGGCUGGCCUUGAACUCAUGGUGAUACUCCUGUCUCAGCUUCCUGAGUGCUGGGAUUACAGACAUCACCACUAUGCCCUGCUCACUGAUGAAUUUUAAAGGAGGAAAACAACAAGGUCAGAGUGUUGGUUUUAUUUUGUAAAAAAUGCAGCUGAACCUGACUCAACUCCAGAGAAGGCGCAGCUUGCUCAGAGCCAUCAGCAUCACCAUGGCAACCAUGCCAUCCACGAGCACUUGAAAAUGUCAUUAUCAGCAGCGGCCCUGUGUGUUCCUUCUCACCGCAAGGCAAACUUGGGCCCCCACAGCUCCCUGACCCUCAGGGUGGGGGGCUGGGACUGGGCUCCCCCAGAAGCAGAGAGUCGAAAGGAGGGACUUUGGGUUUCCCUCAUCCUCAUCUUGCCUGUCUGCCUUGGACAUCCGUCUAGAAGGAGCGGAGAGCAUCUCUUUCCUGCUGGGCAGGCAGGCAGAGUGGACACUAAGCUCACACUUUCAAGGUCUGAAAGCCAUGAUUUCUCUUUGUUUCUCUCUUUUUGGAGGGGAGGUGGUUUGAGACAGAGUCUCACUAUGUAGCCCAGGCUGGCCUCAAACUCUCAGUGAUCCUCUUGCCUCAGCCUCCUGAGUGCUGGGAUUGACAAGGGUGGGGCACUGCUCCCAGCUGCCAUUUCUAUUUCUAAGGUUGUGAGGUGGGGACAGCUGCAGAGCUCCUGAGGCCUAGACUGCAAAUGUGGAUGAAGAAGAUGAGGACAAUGCUGAUGGAACCCACUGCGGGGUGUCUAUCACCAGGAGUCAGGUAGUGCCUGGGACAUGAAGCAGUGCCUGGGACCUCGUUUCUGGUCCCUUACUAUAAUCAUCUUCCUAGAAACAAUUUAAAUGAACGCAUGAAUUUUAAUUAAUUUAACAACAAUAUCUAGCAUUCAUGGGGUACCUCUCUGCUAAGCUCUCUGACAUUUAUGGCACUUUCUCAUGAAAAGCGUAAGAUUAUCCCUAUUUUACAGACAAGGAAACUAAGACUAAUAGAGGUUAACUCAUGAGAGGUUGCAGCUACAAAAGGUGGAGCUGAGAUUUGAGUUCAAAGGCCUGGAUGACACCCCCCCCCCCGCCACCAUUUCCAUGUCCUGCAGGAGGGCUGAUGUCUCUCCCCAGUAACCCCUCAGCGUCACCCGGGGAGGCUGAAGUGUUCUGGGCUGCCCCAAUCUACAGCAUCAGCUUUUGGAGUGUGGCUCCAGGGUCAUGUCCUGUAGGCACCUGUCCCAGUUAAGCUGUGGCGUUUGAGAAUUUAGAGCUGGCUGACUCCCGAAGGGCAGGGAUCUGCCCAGGACUGGCACGGGACACGGUCCAAGGAAGGGUCAGAAGCGUUCACUGAACCAAACACAGGGUGAGCAGGCCCCUCACCAGGCCAGCUAUCCGGAGCUCCUGACGCCUCGUGGUCUUCUCCUGUUCCUUUCCUGUACUCUUCACUGCCGGCUCCCAGGCUGCACCCAGUCCAGACUUCCCUGCAUUGGGAGAAGCCAGGCACACCUGACACCAGGAAGCUGCAUUUUGUUAGUAAGAACAAACUCAGCCCCUCAGGCAGCUUUUAAGACAGAUAUCGUCUGGAUGCCUGAACGAAAUAGCUUUGGUGGGCUCACGCAGCAUAGAGAGGCAAGCUUGGGUCUCCUCCUCUUGAGAAUUUUCUUUUGGUUUAUUUGAACUUGGGAUGGAACCCAGGCCCUUCACACUGAGCUACUUCCCCAUCCUUUUCUCAUCUUUUAUUUUAUGACAGGGACUUGCUUAAUUACCAAGUUGCCCAGACUAGGCUCAAUUUCAAUCCUCCUGCUUCAGUCUCCCAGAGUGCUAGGAUUAUGUGUGUGCCCCCCAUGAUUGGCUCCUCUGACAAGUUUUAAACAUAAAAAAGGAUUAUUUAUCAACACGAAAUACCCAGAUAUCAAGCAAUUGUGUGAAAUCAUGGGUUUGAUCUCCAGCACUACAAAAAACAAAAUAUCAAGUAAUAAAUAAGUCAUGGUAUCUAUAAGGGAUACUACAUGCAUACUAUGGAAUAUUAAGCAGUCACCAAAAUUUAAGAAUUUCUAAGGAUAUUUAAUAAUAUGGGGAAAUAUUCACCAAAAAUAAGGGGAAAAAGUAGGGUACAAAAUUAUAUACACUGGAUAAACCGGCUGUGGUAUCACAUGCCUAUAAUCCUAGCACUCGGGAGGCUGAGGCAGGAGGAUCACCAUGAGUUCGAGGCCAGCCUGGACUACAUAGUGAGUUCAAAGCCAGACUGAACUACAUAGCAAGACCCUGUCUCAAAAAAACCAAACCAACCAACCAACCAAACAAACAAACCCAAAUGUAUGUAUACGGGAAAGAUGUUUGUGAUAUGUGGCAGAGAUACCAGCUGUCCCCCAAUAUCUGUUCUCUUUUGCUAUAGGACUAGAGCUCCUACUCAGACAGAUGUCACAUUUCCCAAUGGCCACAGGGCUUAGUUCUGGCCAGUGGGGUGCAAGUGGAAGUGAUGCAUGUGAAUUGCAGGAAGUGUCUGUCUUGGGCUGUUUCUGCUGCUGUAACAAAAUGACCUCAGUCUGAGUAAACAAUAAACAAUAGAAAUGUACUACUCAUGGUUCUGGAGACCAGGAAGUCCAAAGGCACCAGCAGAUCCAGUGUCUUGCUUCUAAGAGGACCCUUUCUUGCUGCAUGUCACAUCAUAGGAGGGACAAGAGCUCCUUCACACAUCUUUUUUUUUUUUUUCUGUACUGGGGAUCAAACUUGGGACUUUGCGCUUGGGAGCAGGCGGUGGCACCAUUGAGCUAAAUCCCCAGCCCCCUUCACACAUCUUUUAUAAGGUCACUAAUCCCAUUCAUGAGGGGACUACCUGGUGAGGCAAUCACCUCCUAAAAGCCCACCUCUUACCACUGCCACACUGUAGGCAGGUUCCAACGUAGGACUGUGAGGAGUGUGUGCUGAAAGAGAAGCUGCCCUCUUCUUUGUUUCUUCCUCCUUCAGCUUUCUGAGUGUGGAUAUGAGCAGCCACUUUGGGCCACGAGGCAGGGGCCAGGCUGAGGAUGGAGAACACCAGGUGAGAAGAUUCUGGUCUCUAAUGGGCGCAGGCUGUGGUUCCAGCCUGGGCUGUCUUCCUCUGAAGUCACUUACCAGCAGGAGCAGAACCAAAGGCAGGAGCUGCAGAGCCGGCCACAGAGAUGGCCCCAGCUCCGUCAGCCGGUGCUCUGGCAAGCUUGCCAGUCCCCUGGGUGAUUACAUCUUCAAUGUUUUUCCCACCCAGCUCACUGAGGACUUUAUUAAGCUGGUCAUUGUCUGCCUCAAUGCCCACUCUGUCCAGCAUCUUCUUGAUGCCCUUGGUGCUGGGGGCAAGUAGGAGGAGACAGGGUCACCCUAUGUAGUCCAGGUUGGCAUUGAAUUCACGGCGAGCCUCCUGUCUCAGCCUUCCGAGUGUUGGGAUUACAGGCAUAUGUCACCAUACCUGACAAAAAUGUUUUUUUCUUAAAGAAAUGUUAACUAUAUAGAAAAGUAUGUUACAUAAAGGUACAAGAUCCCUUGGGCCGGGGAUUUAGUUCAGUGGUUUUGCCACCUGCUGUGCAAGCACAAGGAUCCAAGUUUGAUCCCCAGUACAAAAAAAAAAAAAAAAAGGUACAAGAUCUCAAUGAUGAAUGUAACUGUAUUUUAUACCUAAAAUGUAC
ensembl:lncRNA